GAUGAACGCUAGCGGCAGGCCUAAUACAUGCAAGUCGAACGGUGUCUUCGGACAUAGUGGCGCACGGGUGCGUAACACGUAUGCAACCUACCUUACAUUGGGGGAUAGCCUUUCGAAAGGGAGAUUAAUACCGCAUAAGACAGUAGCUGGGCAUCCAGCAGCUGUUAAAGAUUUAUCGAUGUAAGCUGGGCAUGCGUCCAAUUAGCUAGUUGGUGAGGUAACGGCUCACCAAGGUGAUGAUUGGUAGGGGAACUGAGAGGUCAAUCCCCCACACUGGCACUGAGAUACGGGCCAGACUCCUACGGGAGGCAGCAGUAGGGAAUAUUGGGCAAUGGACGCAAGUCUGACCCAGCCAUGCCGCGUGCAGGAUGAAGGCGUUAUGCGUUGUAAACUGCUUUUAUACAGGAAGAAACGACUCUUGCGAGAGGCAUUGACGGUACUGUAUGAAUAAGCACCGGCUAACUCCGUGCCAGCAGCCGCCGCCG
rnacentral:rRNA from 1 species